rnacentral:rRNA from 1 species
ACCAGCUCUUCAAGUGGUCGGGAUAAUUAUUGGGCUUAAAGUGUCCGUAGCCGGAUUGGAAAGUUCCUGGUAAAAUCGGGUAGCUUAACUAUCCGCGUGCUAGGAAUACUACUAUUCUAGAGGGCGGGAAAGGUCUGAGGUACUACAGGGGUAGGGGUGAAAUCUUAUAAUCCUUGUAGGACCACCAGUGGCGAAGGCGUCAGACUGGAACGCGCCUGACGGUGAGGGACGAAAGCCAGGGGAGCGAACCGGAUUAGAUACCCGGGUAGUCCUGGCCGUAAACGAUGCAUACUAGGUGAUGGUAUGGCCAUGAGCCAUAUCAGUGCCGUAGGGAAACCGUUAAGUGUGCCGCCUGGGAAGUACGGUCGCAAGGCUAAAACUUAAGGAAUUGGCGGGGGAGCACCACAAGGGGUGAAGCCUGCGGUUC